CCUGUGUUGUGUGCCCUAUCUUUGCAGCCAAUUCCAAAAGAUCAUGACUGAAAAUCUGGAUUUAGCAAAACAAAAUGAACCCUUUGACUGCAGGCAAACAACGCAGAUUCAGCCAGUCACACUUGGAUCUAUAAAUGCCCGUAAAACAAAGAAAGCCUUGUGUCCGUACCUAACCCUAACCCAGAGAACCAAGAUCACGGCCGACCAUCGCAAUAUGGACACCAACAAGGCCACUCCUGAUUUGAAACCCAGUGCGCAACCACCAAGCCCUGAAGACUUGAUGGAAGCCCGUCGAGUGGAUGAAAGACCGCCUCCGUCAAGCCUGCUGCCCAGCUCUUUUGCCCGGGCCUCAGCACCUCCACAAACCUGCCGUCCUCCCACGAAAGCACUUUCUUCCUUCUGAUGAGGGUGUAAUGGGGCAGGAACUUCAGGUCGAGCUGGUCCAGGCCUUGGGUCAACGACUUGGCAACCUUGCCCGGUGGCUGCGGUCCCUGCAGCGCCCCCCGGCGGGUUCGAGAACGUCUUCAAAUAGCAGUCCUCGAGGAAGACCAUCCACAGUGCACCCCCCCAGCACCGGAACGGUCCCCUCGAUGGACUCACAAAAUAGGGUAGGCGGUAGGGGUUAGACAGUGUUUAAGGAUAUAUGUGGUAAUGGAACAGGUAGGGGUUAGACAGUGUUUGGUUUUCGGGACUGAAGCCCAGGUUCCCGACCCCAGGAUCUGAGGUCGGGACUCUAGAUGGUGAAGGGGGACGUCUGAACCCGCGUGGUGAGCGGGGACGUCGGCCCCUGGGCGGUGAAUAUGUAGGUCUCUCCCUGGGUGGGUAUAGGUGGUCUCUCUCCCUGGACCCCAGGGAAGGCCGUCUAUAUCUGGGUGGUGUUGGUGGACGCCAGGUCCUCGGUGGUGGGUCCUUGCAGGUGGUUCCGCGGUGGUGUAUCGGGGCGUCGGCCUCUCGGUGGUGAUAAUUGGAAUUCAUCUCUUCUCCGUGGAUAUUGCCAUUCCUCCGAUCGGGGAUAUUGUGGCCUACCUCGUGGUGAGUGGAAACGAUCACGACGUCUCUUGUACCGCACCUCGGUCCACUCGCUCAUCUUGUUAGAGCGGUGAAAAGUAUCUAAAAAUUUUUUUUUGUCCUUCAAUAAUAAUAAACUAUUACCUAGUAAUAAUGAUUCAAUUCCUUGUGUUCCGUUUAUAAGAUAUUUAUUAUACUUUUACAAAAGACACGACGUUUCGACCUAAUGGGGUCUUCUUCAGGAGUGACAAUACAAGGUCAUUACCAUGGUAAUAGCUUUUUCCGUGUGACCUCCCGGGAGGAACAACUUCCGUGUUACGGAGAUCACAUUAUUAAAACAUACAAUACAAGAAUAGAAAUAAACAGCAAAAAAGGCAUAAUAUAUGGGCAAGUGUCGCCGUGUGAGUCGACAAAAAGACGCCAAUUGUGGCAUGAUGGUGCCCCCAGGUGGUUUGGAACCCGGUGGUGCAUGAAUACAUUGUUAAUUUAAACAAGUGGUAAUAUCAACAACAGUCAUGGAAUACAGUGGGUCCAACCGGACUUUAUUUGUAAAAAUUAAAAAACAAAAAACAUCAAACCAUUCAACUAUUUACAAUGUUGCUUAAUGUAAAUUGGGUUAUGGUUAAGGUAAGGAUUUGGUUUUAAGGUUUGUUAUUGCUAGGGUCUGGGUUAGGAUUGGGGUUAGGGUUAGGUUUUUAUAAUGACAUUCAGCUCUUGAUGGUCAUGGACCCUGGGUGCACUGGCACACCAUCUCCCAAUCCUUUCAUUUAAUUUUCUUCGGUUAUUUCUUUUUUUGGUAUUUUUCUUUUUUUUUUUUUUCAUUAAUAUUUUUCAUUUUUUUGUGUUCUUUUCUUUUUCUGUGAAGAGAAAAUAAAAAUAAAAUAAAAGCAGAGGAAGGGAAGGAAGAGCAGGGGGACCAGCAGUUGGGGUCUGAGGAGGCGCGGAGCAGUCUAUUUUGUACCCCAAGGGGGAUCAGAGGGAGCAGGGAGCCGUCACCGCCAGAGUGCCCAGGAGGCCGGGGCCCCGAGAGACCCCCCAUAAAGGGGUAGUCGGCGCAGCAAACGGGUCGAUAACAACACUUCUAGUUAAAAUGGUGCAUGCUAAAUAAUAAAAGUGGGGGAUCCAAGGAUCCUGCCCAUCAACCUUUCGUAUAAGUAUAUAUGCAAGAAUAAAAAUAAAGGAAAGAUAAAUAUAUAAAUAUAUAGAUAUAUAAAUAAGUACGCACUCAUACAUACUAGUCCAUUCACACUAAUAUUGUCAUCAAAUGGUGAGACAUUCGCAUGAAAAAUAUAUGUAUAAAAAAUAUAUAAAGGGAAAAAGAGGAGCAAGCUGCAAAGGUCAUACUAUUGUGUAAAAGAAGACACCAGGGGAAUAAAAUAUUAGAAAAGAGAGCACACGGGAGGGGUAAAAACAUGCAACACAUUAAAACGCACAGUCGACCCGAUGCCGCGCUAGAAGAAAACCCGGGGAGGAAUCCCGAGACAACCCAGCCCCCCCAGCAAUGGACAAGCGCGGACCCUACUCCCUGAUGUUAAGGCCCAAGGGGGUAACGGUCCUAAGUUUGGAUAUCCAUCUGUGCUCCGCUGCCUUCCUCUGUCUGUCCGACCAGCACGCCUUCAUCUCCAGCCCGGUGAUGAAUAAUGAGGUAAUGGGGUGUGUUUGGAAAUGUUUGACUAUUUGAGUGUUGAGUGUGCCUAUGUGUAUUGUAUAUAAAUGUUGUUUUAGUCUGUUUAAUAUGGUGUGCUUUGUUUCGCCGACAUAGAUGAUGUGGCAUUCGGAGCAUGUAAUGGCGUAAAUGAUGUUUUUGUCCAGGAUAGUAAGUUUUUGUGUGAUAGGGCUGGAGGUGGAGGCGAGCUGGUUGCAGAUAACCGCCAACUGCUGGAAAUGGCCUCGGUGUUGAGAGGGGGCGCCUCCAGUGUCCGUGGAGAAGCGGGCCUGCACCAGGGUUCCGGUUUUUCCUAAAAGCUGAAAUGAUUUUGUGAUUUUGAAGUGCGGGAAUGUUGUGUUGUGCGUGUGUGAAUGCGUUUUUCAGUUUGGAGUGUAUGUGUCUGAUGUUUUGUGUAUAUGUGCUGAUGAGGGGUAUGAUGCGUGUGUGUGGCUGCCGCCCUUUAACGUCUCCGCUCCUGAUGGCAGGGGUCCCCUCAGGGAACCUGUUUGGGAAGACCACCUGACUCAGGGAUCCAGGCACUCCUAGUGGAGGCCCCACCUCAGCCGGGCUGUGGAGGAUAGGGGCGGACACCAGGUCCGUCCCUCCAGUAUGAGGGAGCCGGCCAAGGUGAGGCAUAGAGGAGGGGGGCUGGUUAGGGUCAGGGAGAUGGUGGGGGCCCACAGUGGGAGCCGCAGGCGGGUUAAAGUGAAACGGAGGGGGUGACGAGGGGUUAUGGUGAGACGUGGUGAUUGUGCGCUGACUAGAAUGUAACGUGGUGGAGAAAUGGCUAGGGUGAGACGGGGGCAGGGGGAGGCGGGAGAGUCCAACACACCGGCAGCGCCCAGGGACGAGGACCCAGACGGGGAGGAGGACCCCGAGGGGGCCCGUCGCCCGAGCUCCGCCAAUGUGCUGGACAAGAUGGAACGCAAAAACCGCUUGGUGUACCCCCUGCCCCUCAGGACCCUCUCCUGGUCGCCCCCCGCAUGUCCGUCUCCUCUGUGCAGAGUCUGUGAAACCGGAUGAUUUGUGAUUUAAUAAUACCCGCGAAUGUGUGUUUGGGGUGAAAACUGCUUUUAUGGAGGAGUGCGUGUGUGUCGGUGGGUUUGAAAUAAACUUUUGUGUGCAGGACUGUUUGUGGUGCGUUUGUGUGUGGGAAAAAAACAGUUGUAUCUAGAAAAUCUAUGUGUUGUGCAUGUUGUGUAUAUUUAACCUUAAUUGUAGGGUGGUGUGUAUUGAAUAUGUGUAUGAAUUGUAGGAAGUGAUCUAAACUAUGUGGCCAGACCCCGAAGAUGUCAUCCAGGAACCGACAGUACACCUGUGGCAGCAAUGGGCAAGACUGCAAAGCAGAAUGUUCGAACCCAGCCAUGUAGAUGUUCGCAUAGCUGGGUGCGAACUUCUUGCCCAUUGCUGUCCCGUGCGUCUGGAGGUAAUGCUUAUCAUUAAAGACGAAGUCAUUCCUGCGCAGAUUUAUUUCUAGGAGUUCCAACAGGUGAAUGUCGGGCCUGUCGGGGUCUGGGUACCGGAGGAGUGCAGAGCGGACAGCCCGCAGGCCGCAAUCUAUGUCGAUAUUGGUGUAUAGGGAAUCUAUAUCAAUUGAAAAUAAAAACGCUUGUGGAAACCGGUGUGUUAUUGAGUUUUUGGAUGAAGUGAUGGGUAUCUUUGAUGUAGCUGGGGUGUUUCCGGGAGAUGGGGUUGAGGUAGUAUUCAAUAAACUCAGCUGCUGCAGAGGACUCGCUACCACAAUCGGAAAUGAUUGGCCGUCCCGGCGGCACUAAGAAGGGGACCGUCCAGGACUCGGGCGCCUUGUGGAUCUUUGGCAGAAGCGUGUUGCGGGGUUGCUGGACUGGAUGCCUGGACUCUCCUCAUGGAUAUCCGGCCAGAUCCCAUUCACAGUUUUAUUAUAAUGUGCAGCUAUUUACCUGUGUGUCAAUUGUGGCACCCAUUGCACUCCUGACCAUCCCUG
ensembl:lncRNA